rnacentral:rRNA from 1 species
AGGGGGGUGCUAUACAUGCAAGUCGAGCGGACCGACGGGAGCUUGCUCCCUUAGGUCAGCGGCGGACGGGUGAGUAACACGUGGGUAACCUGCCUGUAAGACUGGGAUAACUCCGGGAAACCGGGGCUAAUACCGGAUGCUUGAUUGAACCGCAUGGUUCAAUCAUAAAAGGUGGCUUUUAGCUACCACUUACAGAUGGACCCGCGGCGCAUUAACUAGUUGGUGAGGUAACGGCUCACCAAGGCGACGAUGCGUAACCGACCUGAGAGGGUGAUCGGCCACACUGGGACUGAAACACGGCCCAGACUCCUACGGGAGGCAGCAGUAGGGAAUCUUCCGCAAUGGACGAAAGUCUGACGGAACAACGCCGCGUGAGUGAUGAAGGUUUUCGGAUCGUAAAACUCUGUUGUUAGGGAAGAACAAGUACCGUUCGAAUAGGGCGGUACCUUGACGGUACCUAACCAGAAAGCCACGGCUAACUACGUGCCAGCAGCCGCGGUAAUACGUAAGUGGCAAGCGUUGUCCGGAAUUAUUGGGCGUAAAGCGCGCGCAGGCGGUUUCUUAAGUCUGAUGUGAAAGCCCCCGGCUCAACCGGGGAAGGUCAUUGGAAACUGGGGAACUUGAGUGCAGAAGAGGAGAGUGGAAUUCCACGUGUAGCGGUGAAAUGCGUAGAGAUGUGGAGGAACACCAGUGGCGAAAGCGACUCUCUGGUCUGUAACUGACGCUGACGCGCGAAAGCGUGGGGAGCGAACAGGAUUAGAUACCCUGGUAGUCCACGCCGUAAACGAUGAGUGCUAAGUGUUAGAGGGUUUCCGCCCUUUAGUGCUGCAGCAACGCAUUAAGCACUCCGCCUGGGGAGUACGGUCCCAGACUGAACUCAAAGGAAUUGACGGGGGCCCGCACAAGCGGUGAGCAUGGUGGUUUAAUUCGAAGCAACGCGAAGAACC